CCGGCACACCCGUUCCCCGUGUGCUCGGAUUUGGGGAGUGGGCGAGGUCUCCUGCCCGCUCAGCGCCGCAGACAGUUCCGUCUUGCGGGAGCGCCUGUCGGGCUACGAGCCGAGAGGAUCUGCUCCCUGUGCUUGUUCCGCGGCUAAGGUUUGAGCAAGGGUGGCUGAACUGCCCUUGCCCAAACGCCGGGCAAGCACCCCACGCCCCGGGCGGAGGGGGCGGCGCUGGACCUGGGGAACCCGCCAAGGAGGAGCCGCCGGGGCAGCCCGAGGGCAGCCGGACUGUGCCGCUGUCCCAUCCCGGCCUCGGGAUAGGCGGCGGAACACCUUGCUGGGCAUCAGCCUGGUGAGCCGCCGGGCCGGCCUCUGGGGUUUUCCUCUACGUAGGAGAAAAGGCAAACCCGCGGUGAGGGGACGGUGGAGGAGAAGGGGAAGGUGCUCUGGGCUGCGGGCCGGAGAAGCCUGGCAGCCCAGGGUAUUGGUGCCCCCCUCCAUCAUCCAUCCAUCCAUCCAUCCAUCCAUCCAUCCGUGUCAUUCGUCUGUCCGUCCGUCCGUCCUCCGGCACGACCCCCGCGCAGGCUUGGCAGGGAACGGUGCGGGCAGAGAGCGACGGACACAAAACUGAGAACCCAAAGCAAUUAGCGGUGAGGCAGGUCCCCGCCGAGUACGAGACGUGUUGUCUCUGUAUCUGCUGACGGGAGGCAGCUAUCGGGGCUCCCGCAAAACUCCUGCCGUGCUCGGGAAGAGGCUGACACUUGGAAGGGGGAGGAGGCGGCUGUACCGCGCCUGAGAGAACGAUCGAUAGCAAUUUUCUAAUUUCUCCUUGCCCGCUCUUGCACCUUUCCCUUUUUGGGUGUGCUGCCUGCUGACUUCAAGAAUUUGUGCCGCAGCUUCCCCGAGUUGUCAGUCGUGCCUCCCCUGGCAAAGAGGAGCCGAGGCCGGGGUGGGAGGGGAGGGCUAGCUGUUCUUCUCCCCGUACCUCUUCCAGCCUUCUAAGAUACCUAUUUCGAUUCCCGAUACUGGGAAAUUUAGGCAAGCCGGUGAAGUGAAGGUACUAAAUGUAAAC
rnacentral:lncRNA from 12 species